rnacentral:RNase_P_RNA from 1 species
CCCGCAAGCUAUCCUAUCGCGCGGGUUUGUGGCGAAAGCUGCAGAUCCGGGAGGAAAGUCCGGGCAACACAGAGCAUCGUACUUCCUAACAGGAAGGACCCCGGUGUCAAAGCCGGGGGCCAGAGAGUGCCACAGAAAACAGACUACCCUGUUCCGAUUCUAUCGGGACGGGAAAAGGUGAAAAGGUGGGGUAAGAGCCCACCGCCCCGGUGGCGACACCGGGGGCAUGGCAAACCUUACGAGUUGAAAGGCCAAACAGCCCCGAUAGGAACUGCUCGUUCCUACGUUCGACUUGUCGAACGUAUCGGGGUGGGUAGGCUGAUUGAGCUCGUCAGUGAUGACGACGCCAGAUAAAUGAUAGGAGCCCCGAUUGCGAUCGGGGAACAGAACCCGGCUUACAGGCUUGCUUUUUUU